GAUGAACGCUGGCGGCGUGCCUAAUACAUGCAAGUCGAGCGAACAGACGAGGAGCUUGCUCCUCUGACGUUAGCGGCGGACGGGUGAGUAACACGUGGAUAACCUACCUAUAAGACUGGGAUAACUUCGGGAAACCGGAGCUAAUACCGGAUAAUAUAUUGAACCGCAUGGUUCAAUAGUGAAAGACGGUUUUGCUGUCACUUAUAGAUGGAUCCGCGCCGCAUUAGCUAGUUGGUAAGGUAACGGCUUACCAAGGCGACGAUGCGUAGCCGACCUGAGAGGGUGAUCGGCCACCCUGGAACUGAGAAACGGUCCAGACUCCUACGGGAGGCAGCAGUAGGGAAUCUUCCGCAAUGGGCGAAAGCCUGACGGAGCAACGCCGCGUGAGUGAUGAAGGUCUUCGGAUCGUAAAACUCUGUUAUUAGGGAAGAACAAAUGUGUAAGUAACUACGCACGUCUUGACGGUACCUAAUCAGAAAGCCACGGCUAACUACGUG
rnacentral:rRNA from 1 species